rnacentral:rRNA from 1 species
UGUAUCCUACGGGACGCAGCAGUGGGGAAUAUUGGGCAAUGGGCACAAGCCUGACCCAGCAACGCCGCGUGAAGGAAGAAGGCUUUCGGGUUGUAAACUUCUUUUGUCAGGGACGAAGCAAGUGACGGUACCUGACGAAUAAGCCACGGCUAACUACGUGCCAGCAGCCGCGGUAAUACGUAGGUGGCAAGCGUUAUCCGGAUUUAUUGGGUGUAAAGGGCGUGUAGGCGGGAAUGCAAGUCAGAUGUGAAAACUAUG